GGCGGGUCCACGCUCUGGCGCCGGCCGGCGGAGCCCGGAAGGCGACUGGAAGGAGCCGUGUUGGAGCCAUGGCGGCGCCCGGCGCGCUGCUCGUGAUGGGCGUAAGCGGCUCCGGAAAGUAGGUCCAGGAGGCCGGGUGCAGGGGCACCUGGUGGGGAGGCGGGCGCCGUGGUCGGCCGGGCGGGGACCCGAAGGCCCUGGGAGCCCGUGGCACCUGCUUGUCCACCUUCCAACCCGCCCGCCUAAGCCCCGGCCCGGGACCACGGGAGACCUUGGGUCUCUGCGUAUAAAACCCAGGCUCUAGCCACGCCGGCCGGGGUCAGGAGCCCCUUGUAAAGAGGCCGCUUGGGCAGAGUGAUUGACAGGUUACCAACGUGAGGGACGGCGGUUCCACUCCACAUCUCAGGAGGCUCUGAAUGCCCGGGGUUGGGACGUUUUGUCAGUCAGGGCCGGAGCCUGCAGAGCCCACGUCCCAGCCUCUUUCAGACGUUUGUNGGGGAUUAGCUUUUGGCUUCCUGAUAAAACC
rnacentral:lncRNA from 1 species